rnacentral:rRNA from 1 species
GGACCAAGGAGUACAGCAUGUGCGCGAGUCAUUGGGACGAUCGAAUCCUAAAGGCGCAAUGAAAGUAAAAGCUGGCUUGCCAGCCUAGGGAAGAUGGGCGACUUCGGUCACCUCGCACUCCCGGGGCGUCUCGUUCUCAUUGCGAGUUGAGGCGCACCUAGAGCGUACAUGCUGUGACCC